GACGAACGCUGGCGGCGUGCUUAACACAUGCAAGUCGAACGGAAAGGCCCUGCUUUUGUGGGGUGCUCGAGUGGCGAACGGGUGAGUAACACGUGAGUAACCUGCCCUUGACUUUGGGAUAACUUCAGGAAACUGGGGCUAAUACCGGAUAGGAGCUCCUGCUGCAUGGUGGGGGUUGGAAAGUUUCGGCGGUUGGGGAUGGACUCGCGGCUUAUCAGCUUGUUGGUGGGGUAGUGGCUUACCAAGGCUUUGACGGGUAGCCGGCCUGAGAGGGUGACCGGCAACAUUGGGACUGGGAUCCGGCCCAGGCUCCUACGGGAGGCAGCAGUGGGGAAUAUUGCACAGUGGGCGGAAGCCUGAUGCAGCAACGCCGCGUGCGGGAUGACGGCCUUCGGGUUGUAAACCGCUUUCGCCUGUGACGAAGCGUGAGUGACGGUAAUGGGUAAAGAAGCACCGGCUAACUACGUG
rnacentral:rRNA from 1 species